UUGUUAGUCAUACAUUUGCAACCACGCAAUAACCAAUAUUAUAUGUAGUUGCAAAUUUAAUGCCAUGUCCGAAGACGAAAACAUACAUAUGUAAUUAGACUCUAUAUUGUAGAUUACGUUAAGAACUGUAUGAAAAUAUGUCACAUAAUGUCACACUUUUUAAAGGGAAGUCAUGAAGCAGGACAGUACUCCAGGCUGUAAGUGGAAAACCCUUUAACAUGCAUCAAUGAUAUUUUUUAUUUGUUUACCACAGGUGUUCAAAUGAAUAAAUUUGUAUAUAAAUAGAAUGCUAGCUUAUAUAUGUUAGUUCUACAAAAAUACUUGAUCACUUUUACAUUACUGGAAUUUUUGCAAGCGUAUACCUAAUAAUAAAGUCUCUCAGAUAUUUACUGAAACAUUAUUUUUACCAGGUAAAAAUGUCAAUUAGCUACGCACUAUCGAUAAUCCUCUUCAUAUCUAUGUUUGGCGAUGAUACAUUCGCUUUUUAUCAAGUGACUGAUCACCCCAGUGUUGUCUUAGGCCCAUUUUUCACCUACCACCCUCAUGGAACGAGUCAUUGUCUGAGUGAAGGUCACGAACCGGGAUCACUUAUCGUACGCCCGUGCGAUUCAAAUAAAGCACUUGCUUUUUUCAAAAGCGGUGACGAAACGCUUAAAAGCAAUAGCACGAAUGGACCUCUCUGUCUCGAAGAAAGAACAACUUCUGCUGCGUUAGCGAUUUGCGACUAUAAGAAGGAACAACAACGCUGGCGUAUGCAUUGUAUUUUUACCGACAACUGCUAUGUAAAGACAGAGUCGAAGAAAUGUUUAAAGGUGGAUUUGACAGAUUACACAUCUGUGAUUAUCGGUGAGUGCACGAAAGAUGCUUUAUGGCAGCGGAGAUGGGUAAAAGGAACCAAAACUGAUUUUAUUUCUAAUUAGGAAAUACGUCUAAAAUUCUACGUAUUACAUUAUAUGUACAUGUAUUUGUAUAUGUAUAUGUACUACAAUAUUCUUUACAUACAUAUGUAAAUAUGCGUAUACGCAUAUAUGUAUACGAUUGAUUACAGAAUUAUACAGAAUUUGCUAAAUUUGCUUUCAUUUCUGAAAAUUAAUAAAGGCGUCAAGUAAAUUAAAUACGUAAUAACUUCAACAAGCUAGCACAAGUGUCGACAUAAGUAAAUUGCAUAUACAUAUAAAGUCAUCUGGGUAAAUGCCAGGUUUGCCAGUUUUUGUUCUUAUUAAUUUCUGGCGUUACAUAUAUAUGUAGAUUUAUCAUUAACUUAACCUAGUAAGUUCAAUUUAUAUUACAUGUUAUAUGUGUCAAGAAAAUAUACAUAGUGAAUAUGCUUUUACCUUUACAUAUUUAAGACAUUAGUAAGAGGUUUUAUAAAAAAAAUUCAUAAAAUAUAGAAAAUGCAAUAAUAAAUAAGUGUAUAUAUGUAGUAAUGUACCAGAUUUGUAUUUUCAGUUUAUGGUAAUUUUAAAUAUGUAGGAUAGUACAGGACCCAAUUAUCCGUAUAACUAGCGAGGUAAGCAUGUCUGUAUCAAAGGUAUCUGGAUGUGACAAUUAAGCAAGGAUGAUUUAUUAUUUUGUAUGAUUUACAUAACGACUAUAUUUAAUUACAUGGUUCAACGCGAUGUCAUGGAAUCCAGAUCCUGAAAAAUUUCACUGAAUAAUAACACGUUAGUACAUAUCUAAAAAGGUGUAUUUAUGUAGCAUAUGAACCAAGUAGAUUAAUAGAGUUUCCAUUGUGAAAUCCAAUACUCGCCAGAGUGUGACUGUAUUUGCCACACGCGGAGUUGGUGCAUACAUAAAUAAAUACCCAUUUUAAUCUUA